UAAAAAAAAAAAAAAAAUUGCUUUUCAGCCACUUAAAAUUUCUCUAACCUAAUUCUAUAUACUUUGUCUCCACCACCACUUACAGAAUUUAGGGGAAAAAACACUAUCGCCUGGGAAUUCGUAUUCGAAAUUCUAAGUAGCGAAAAACUCAAUAAGCUAUAAAGAACCUAGAUGAUGUCUCCUAGCUACUCCGACGUCAUCGUCUAUCGUCACACCACCUACAUUACAUAAGCUUCACCGGCAGCGCUCCGUAUCUUUCCCUAACUCUACCGCUUCCGACUCCGAUUCCAAAUCUAUAAAGAAGGUUGCAAAGCCAGAGAAAAGAAAUGAUGAAAUUGAUAUUUUCAUAAUUCCAUGAUAAUGGAACAUAUUAAAAUGGAAGAUUGUACAUUUGAAAUAUCUGAUUUAUUCCCAUUAAAAAUUAUGGGUUUGUUGUUUUUCACUACAAAUAGUUUUUUAUGUAUACAAGAUUACUUAGGUUUUGAUCUAAAUGUAUGUGUUGUAAUUGAUGGGAUAAUUUAAUGAAAUUAUUGAAUAAGAAAUUGUGAUUUUUAAUAAAUUUGUGUUUGAAAUUGUGAUUUUACUUAGUUUUUUGAUCUAAUUGUAUGCGUUAGUUCAUGUUUGAAACUUUAUAAUGGAAAUAAAGUUAAUUAUGGCGGCGCGUGAAGUAACUGGCAGUUGGUGGUUUUGGGAAAUAAUGAUCGGGUUCCGGGAAGGUGGGCUUCUACCAAUUAUUUUUUUUUUUUAAAAAAUAUUUUUCUAAGAGACCACACUUCAUUUACAGGUGGUCUUUCAUCUCCAAUCUAAGAAACCUUUAUUUAUAGGAAAAUGGUCUCUUUGUCUUCUUUAUUUGUAAACAAAAAAGCCAUCUAAGAAACCAUAUAUCUUCCAAGCAUGGUUUUUUUUUUUUUUUUUUUUUUUUUUGUCCAAUCUAACAAACCAGACCAAUAGUAUGGUUUCUUAUUCUAAGAGACCACUUAGAUAUAAACCAUACAUUUAUUUGUCUCUUAGGCCUAUUUAGAAUGGUUUCUUAGCCACUUUUAGUAUUAGUGCGAGUUCGAUUUCAUCACGAACUUGAAGAGCCGCCCGU